GGCUUUCCCGCCUCCCUGGGAGCACAGCGGCCCGGCCUCCCGAGCCGACCCCAAAUCCUCUACCCGUCGUCCUCGCCCGGCGGGGGUACCCUCCUCACCUCACGAGCUUCAUCCUAGCGACGCAGUUCUCCCUUCUGGCCCGACUGUUCACAGAAUUCAGGCUCCAGAGAUCCACGGACUGGGGUUAUGAAUGGCCGGAAAAGCGCGCGGAGGCCUGCGGACGCGCGACGAGAACGCGGAAGCUGCGCUGCCUUCCGGCCACCGGGAGGGCGACAGCGGCCCCUAGCGACGGGAGGAGUGCUUUGCACCUUCGGAGGGCGGGAGGGCUGGUGGACGACAUCUUCUGCAGGUUUUUUUAGACCAGUUACGAAGUUAUUAAAACUACUUGUGAAGGCCUGGAACUUUCACAUGUUAAAGGAAGAGAAGUUCUGAAAGAAGCCCACUAAGAUUCGAGUUUAAUACUUGGGAUUCACAUGUUGGAAGCAGGGAACUCGGUCCUGCAAGAUGUCCUUACUUGGCUUGACAUUAAGCUAAGCCAAUCAAAUCUUUGGACAGAAUGGUUUUCCUUUGGGGAUGCAGGGUACCUUCUUAAAACUAGAAAAACCACUCUCAGGACAGAGUUUUAAAUAAAUUUUAUAUAUAGC
rnacentral:lncRNA from 1 species